rnacentral:rRNA from 1 species
AUUGAACGCUGGCGGCAGGCUUAACACAUGCAAGUCGAACGAGUGGUGGACGGGUGAGUAAUGCUUGGGAAUCUGGCUUAUGGAGGGGGAUAACGACGGGAAAGUGUGGCUAAUACCGCGUACCAUAGGAGGAGCCCAAGUGGGAUUAGGUAGUUGGUGGGGUAAUGGCUUACCAAGCCGACGAUCCCUAGCUGGUCUGAGAGGAUGACCAUCCACACCUGGACUGAGACACGGCCCGGACUCCUACGGGAGGCAGCAGUGGGGAAUAUUGCGCAAUGGGGGCAACCUGACGCAGCCAUGCCGCUUGAAUGAAGAAGGCCUUCGGGUUGUAAAGUUCUUUCGGCGACGAGGCGUUAUUCACAGAAGAAGCACCGGCUAACUCCGUGCCAGCAGCCGCGGUAAUUC